AUCGUAACAAGGUUUCCGUAGGUGAACCUGCGGAAGGAUCAUUAACGCGCAGGCCGGAGGCUGGCCCCCCACGAUAGGAAUCAACGUUCCAUCAGGGGUGUGCAGAUGUGCGCCGGUCUUACGCCCCAUUCUUGUCUACCUUACUCGGUUGCCUCGGCGGGCCGCGCUCUCCUGGGAGAGUCGUCCGGCGAGCCUCUUUGGGGGCUUUAGCUGGAUCGCGCCCGCCGGAGGACAGACAUCAAAAAAUCUUGGAAAGCUGUCAGUCUGAGCGUUAGCAAGUAAAAUUAGUUAAAACUUUCAACAACGGAUCUCUUGGUUCCGGCAUCGAUGAAGAACGCAGCGAAAUGCGAUAAGUAAUGUGAAUUGCAGAAUUCCGUGAAUCAUCGAAUCUUUGAACGCACAUUGCGCCCUCUGGUAUUCCGGGGGGCAUGCCUGUUCGAGCGUCAUUUCAACCCCUCAAGCCCGGCUUGUGUGAUGGACGACCGUCCGACCUCCUCUUUCGGGGGCGGGACGCGCCCGAAAAGCAGUGGCCAGGCCGCGAUCCCGGCUUCCUGGGCGAAUGGGCAGUCAAACCAGCGCCCUCAGGACCGGCCGCUCUGGCCUUCCCCCAAAUCUCUCUGAGAUAUUUUUUCAGGUUGACCUCGGAUCAGGUAGGGAUACCCGCUGAACCUAAGCAUAUC
rnacentral:misc_RNA from 1 species